rnacentral:rRNA from 1 species
UACGUAGGGUGCAAGCGUUGUCCGGAAUUAUUGGGCGUAAAGAGCUCGUAGGCGGUCUGUCGCGUCGGCUGUGAAAACCUGGGGCUCAACCCCGGGCUUGCAGCCGAUACGGGCAGACUAGAAUUCGGUAGGGGAGACUGGAAUUCCUGGUGUAGCGGUGAAAUGCGCAGAUAUCAGGAGGAACACCGGUGGCGAAGGCGGGUCUCUGGGCCGAUAUUGACGCUGAGGAGCGAAAGCGUGGGGAGCAAACAGG